GAACCACUGUGUGAAAUACUGCUGACAUAUUGAGCAAGAUGGGGACUAAGACGUGACCCAGAUUUAGCAACAUGGGAGCCAUUGCGGACCUGGAUAAAAACAGACCUGGAUAAAAACAGUCUGAGGAGCGGUGAGGAUGAAAGCCUGUAAGCCGCAUCUGCAGCAUAUGAAAGUUCCCAGGAAGCUGAAUCCACUGCAGCUGCCGGCCUGCACCACAGCCAUAGCAAUGCAGGAUCCGAGCCAAGUCUAAAUACUAUUUAUACGGCUCUAAUGGAUCCACUAACACGCUGCAGAAUGAGCUCAGGACGACAUUAGAAUGGGAAUGAAAUGCAGACCUCUGUCACCCAACUCCAGGCAAGCUUCACAUGGAACAGACACACACAAGAGACUGAGAUAGAAACAACUAGAAAGCUGCUAAUUGGCACUUAACACUUGUAUAUUUCUGCUCUUUCCUUGGUCCGGGAAAGUAUCCUGGCAAGUCUAUCUGGCCCAACAAGCUGAGAGUGGGUGGUAUGGAUCAAUUAAGGUUAUAAAACCACAGAAAGAAGAGUCCCUCAUCAGAGAGUGGUGCUUCACAAUAGAUGAAAAAGCAAAGAAAGAUGUAAUCAGCUUACAGGGGCCUGGGUUUCUCUUCCUGGCUCUUAGAAGAAGGAAUCCAGCUUUCUUCUGGCUAUUUCCUGAGGAGAGCGCGCCUCCCUCCCUCAAGUAUUCAGGCUAAUUACCACUGGUGAGGUAGUUUCCAGGCUGAAUGAGAAAUCAAAAGGGAAGGGGAGGGGAAGUGGUGUGGAUUUCAGAGAAAAAAUAACUUAAGAAAAAGUAUGUUCUCAGAGGGGGGAAAAUGAGAGAAUCAGGUCACUGAGCUGGAGCCAGGAAAAAUCCACAGGAGUGGAAAUUGGAGCGAUGAAAGCAUUUCAUAUUAACACAUCCAAAGCCUGAAUGGGCCCGGCCCAGAGGAUGUCUUCCCCCUCCUGGAAAGCGGCUGGGGGGCUGAAAGACCUCUAGGCUUUUCUCUGUCAAAUUCAUUCACUAAUCAGCGCUAUUCAGCCAAUCGCCCAUGUGGUCUUCUGCGCGGUGCCCUGCAAAGCGCCAGGACCACAUAGCAACGAUUAUAAUCAAAACCACUGGAGACUCUUAUGUCAGCUUCUGAAAUACGACGCUUCAAAGGCAGACAUGCCUCCAAUGAAAACCAGCACUUUCUUUCUCUUGCUUUCUUUCUGCCAAGUCUACAGUUUUAGAUUCAAGCACUUGAUAAUUAUAUAUCAAUAGAGACAGAAUGCAUUUUGCCUAAAGCAAAGACAUAAAUGGUUUUAAGGGCAGGCACAGUGUCACAUGUCAGUAGACAUUAGCUGAGGUUAAACUCUGCUGAUGUGACUAGAAUAUUGACAUCUCUGUUAGAGUCAAUAUCUCGAAAUUGACGGUGUGGCUUGGCAUACCUAUUUCCUUAAUGAUUUUCCAGUGUAAUACAAACAUAUCUAACAGCACUCCACACAUCUCAGGGGCUUACACUCCUGCCUCUCCUGUGUUCAUCAGACUGCCAAAGCUUUUUGUUAUCCAAACUUCAGCUGAAAGUGGGAUAUGAGGCACAAAGUACAAUCCUGAAAAUAUUGG
ensembl:lncRNA